rnacentral:rRNA from 1 species
GCCUGGGGAGUACGGCCGCAAGGCUAAAACUCAAAGAAAUUGACGGGGGCCCGCACAAGCGGCGGAGCAUGUGGAUUAAUUCGAUGCAACGCGAAGAACCUUACCUGGGUUUGACAUGCACAGGACGGGCCUAGAGAUAGGUAUUCCCUUGUGGCCUGUGUGCAGGUGGUGCAUGGCUGUCGUCAGCUCGUGUCGUGAGAUGUUGGGUUAAGUCCCGCAACGAGCGCAACCCUUAUCUUAUGUUGCCAGCGCGUA